AGGGAGAAAAGAAAGGAGAAACGAUUUUGAAUUUUGAAUCGUGAUCGUGUUUACGUUGUAAAGAGCGGGCCACCUGAGCGUUUCGAGGGCAAGGACUGAGGUUCAGUGUCUCGGUGACCGUGCUUCGACUAAGUCGACGACCACGUCUCGGCCUCGCCACCGCGUCUUUCCCUUAAAACCGUCCCGUCUUUUCUAAUCUUUCUUCUCUCGUUUUCUCUUCUCCCUUCUCCCUCCUUCCUUUUCUUUUCCCCAUCUAUCUUCUGCGCCGACGCGUGUCUUCGUGUUCCGCUCGUUGCAGAUUUUUUUUUCGAGAAGCUGUUACGCGGUUCAAGUGGUCGGUAUUGGUGCGUGACACGUGUCGGAAUGACAUUUGUAUAAAAUUUUCACGUGGAAGAUGUUGAAGAAUAUUGGAAGAAAAUUGAAAGAAAUUGGAUGAUCCGGCAAAGAUUUCUUCAAGUUUCUUUUUCCAACGAGUGAAGAAGAAGAAGAAGAAGAAGGGAAGACGCGUGUCAAGGUUCGUCUCUAUGGAGGGACAUACGGGUGUAUGCGGGUUGAACCAAUUUACGCUAAUUCAUACCUCGAUUGUCCUUCGUCUCAUAUCAUUCCUUUCUCUCAAAGGAACCCGAGAAAUAUUCAAAAUGGAGGAAUAAUUUUUGAUUUCCUCCCUUCAUCCGUUC